UACGUAGGGUGCAAGCGUUAAUCGGAAUUACUGGGCGUAAAGCGUGCGCAGGCGGUUUUGUAAGUCUGAUGUGAAAUCCCCGGGCUCAACCUGGGAACUGCCUUUGUGACUGCAUGACUAGAGUACGGUAGAGGGGGAUGGAAUUCCGCGUGUAGCAGUGAAAUGCGUAGAUAUGCGGAGGAACACCGAUGGCGAAGGCAAUCCCCUGG
rnacentral:rRNA from 1 species